GACGAACGCUGGCGGCGUGCCUAAUACAUGCAAGUCGAGCGGACGAAUCGAAAGCUUGCUUUUGAUUCGUUAGCGGCGGACGGGUGAGUAACACGUGGGCAACCUGCCCUGUAGACGGGGAUAACACCGAGAAAUCGGUGCUAAUACCGGAUAACACGAAAUGUCGCAUGACGUUUCGUUGAAAGACGGCGCAAGCUGUCGCUACAGGAUGGGCCCGCGGCGCAUUAGCUAGUUGGUGAGGUAACGGCUCACCAAGGCGACGAUGCGUAGCCGACCUGAGAGGGUGAUCGGCCACACUGGGACUGAGACACGGCCCAGACUCCUACGGGAGGCAGCAGUAGGGAAUCUUCCGCAAUGGACGAAAGUCUGACGGAGCAACGCCGCGUGAGCGAAGAAGGCCUUCGGGUCGUAAAGCUCUGUUGUUAGGGAAGAACAAGUAACGCAGUAACUGGCGUUACCGUGACGGUACCUAACGAGAAAGCCACGGCUAACUACGUGCCAGCAGCCGCGGUAAUACGUAGGUGGCAAGCGUUGUCCGGAAUUAUUGGGCGUAAAGCGCGCGCAGGCGGUUCCUUAAGUCUGAUGUGAAAGCCCACGGCUCAACCGUGGAGGGUCAUUGGAAACUGGGGGACUUGAGUGCAGAAGAGGAGAGCGGAAUUCCACGUGUAGCGGUGAAAUGCGUAGAGAUGUGGAGGAACACCAGUGGCGAAGGCGGCUCUCUGGUCUGUAACUGACGCUGAGGCGCGAAAGCGUGGGGAGCAAACA
rnacentral:rRNA from 1 species